UCUACUACUCUCCAUUAUUCUACUCUCUACUACCACACAUCCCUCUCGUUUUUCACCUUUCCAGUUAAAAAAAUGAACGAAUUUCAAUAUCAAGGGUGAAGAAGACUUUUGAGAUUAGGUGUCAUAAUGAGCAGAAAAUGGAGCUUCAACACCAGAUUCCCUCUGCUUAAGCUCAUCCUCACCGAUCCAUCGUUUCUUUCCCAACCCAAACCCUCAAAUUCCAACUAACCCGAUCCUACAAUGCCCGUGUCUACUCGGUCCCAGACGCCGAACGAGUCAAACUCGGAGCACCCGCACGAUGCCUUAAAGGGGAAGAUGAAAGCGCUUCUGGCAUUAUACGAGGAACACAAGAAGAAGAGUGUUGCUGCUGCUCCCAAGAACCCUUCUUUGGGGUCCUCAAGGGAGAAAAACGGGAGGCGCAUUCUGGUGUUCGUCAGGGUGAGGCCGUUGGCGAAGAAGGAAACGGAAGCGGGUGCGCGGUGCUGCGUCAGAAUCGUGGAUCGCCGUGACGUUUACCUAACGGAGUUCGCCGCCGAGAAGGAUUACCUUAGGUUGAAGAGGCUCAGGGGUCGCCACUUCACCUUCGACGCAUCGUUUCCGGAUUCUGCUUCUCAGCAGGAAGUUUAUUCCGCCACAACUUCAGAACUUGUGGAAGCAGUUCUGCAAGGGAGGAAUGGGUCAGUUUUCUGUUAUGGUGCCACUGGAGCCGGAAAGACUUAUACAAUGCUUGGUACAGUGGAGAGCCCUGGUGUGAUGGUGUUGGCAAUUAAAGAUCUGUUUAGUAAAAUCAGAAUUAGAAGUUGUGAUGGAAACCAUGCGGUUCAUUUGUCCUAUCUAGAGGUUUAUAAUGAAACUGUCAGGGAUCUGCUUUCACCUGGAAGACAUCUGGUUCUAAGAGAAGAUAAACAGGGAAUUGUCGCAGCAGGUCUUACAAAAUACCGAGCUUAUUCCACUGAUGAAGUCAUGGCAUUGCUUCAACAAGGAAAUCGGAACAGAACCACAGAACCAACUCGUGCAAACGAAACAUCUUCACGCUCCCAUGCUAUUUUGCAGGUUUUGGUUGAGUACCGAGUUAGAGAUGCUGCAAUGAAUAUUAUUAACAAAAUGGGCAAGCUCUCACUGAUUGAUCUUGCAGGGUCAGAGAGAGCUCUUGCCACAGAUCAACGAUCAAUUAGAUCUCUUGAGGGUGCCAACAUAAACCGGUCUCUUCUGGCACUAAGUAGUUGCAUUAAUGCUCUCGUUGAAGGCAAGAAACACAUACCGUACCGAAAUUCAAAACUCACUCAACUUCUCAAGGAUUCAUUAGGAGGAUCUUGCAACACUGUCAUGAUUGCAAACAUUAGCCCAAGUAAUCUCUCAUUUGGAGAAAACCAGAACACUCUUCAUUGGGCUGACAGAGCCAAGGAGAUUCGAACAAAGGGAUAUAAUGCAAAUGAAGAUGCAUUGCCAGUGCCCCAGACAGAAACAGACCAGGUCAAGCUAGUACUUGACCUCCAAAAAGAGAAUCGAGAAUUGCGAAUGCAGCUAGCGAAACAGCACCAGAAACUUGUGACACUCCAAGCACGGUCAUUAGCUCCCCCAACACCACCUUCAGCUACAUCACUUCUUUCCACUCCUCCAACUUCUGCCCCGCCAUAUGAAAAACGAAGGACCAGACCCUCUUUCUUAGCUGCAACUCAUUUCACUCCAGAGACUAAGAACAAGGGAGAUGACGUAGCUGUCAGAAUCAGAACACUUCAACAAAGAGUAAAGGCCUUGGAAGCAGAGCUUGAUAGAGUGAAAAAGGAUCACAGCUUGCAGCUAAAGCAGAAAGAUGAUGUCAUUCGGGAGCUUUCGAAAAAGGGUGGGAAAAAAGUGGCAGCAGCAGGAGCUAUUCUACUAAAGGAGGCCAACACUGAAGAAAUGAAGAGUCCAAGCCAUCGUUUUCGGUCCCCAGUUCCAACGGCAAAGAAACGAAGCUUUUGGGACAUAACCACUGCGAACAGCCCAUCAGUUACCACAUUGAAUGGGAGAAAAACUAGAAGUUAUGUCAUUUCUGAGCUUACUGCACAUCCAUCUAAGCUUAUUCAGCCCGGGUUUGCUCGAAAAAAGGGUGAUGUUUAAAUAUUCUAGUAAGGAGUUAGAAGAGGAAGUUUAAGGAGAGAAUGUCAAGUACAGAAGGUCUGCUAUUUUUUUUUCAAGACCCUGAUACGUCCUCAAAUUCUUUCAGGAAUAUGAAAGAGAUCAAUGCAGUGCCAUGUCACCCUGUCCUUUUUCGGAAUGUGUCAACCAUCGUGCUUUCACACGAGGCUUCUCUCCCUUCUCCAUUCACAGGUGAGUCACCCUUCACCGAACCACCCACCCAACUCCCAAGAGGCUUCUCUCCUUUCCCCAUUCAUAGGUGAGUCACACCCUUCACCGAGCCACACACCCAACUCCCAGGAGGCCCUGUCAUCGACGUUCUUCGCACUGCCACCUGUGCCAUUGCAACUACAAUCGAAGGCACUGUCGGUCAACCCAUUCCAUCUCCUUCUUCACGCAUAGCUCUCUCUUCUCAACUCCAGAUCAUGACGACCAUGGGAGAUCAGAGCGGCUUCAUUGUAACAUGUUGUCGUUCUUCAAGGCCUUUGCUGGAGUCAGACACAUUGUCGACAUCAUCGGCCUUGUACUCCUCCACCUCCGUGUGAGGGAUCGUCCUUCUCUCCUUUCCUUCAAAUCAAAAUCUAACUAGAUCAAACUACAAACUACAAUGUUAUAUAGUUUAGGAAAAAAUAACAGUUAAUUCUUAAAAAAAAAACAUAUCUAACUUUUGACAAGAAUGACCUAGCGUUCAUAGUUAGAGGAAAUUAUAUUGCUUUCCAGAAAUACUUUGGACUACACAUAGUUAUUUUUAACGUUUACAUCAACCCUCUUAUUAAUAAGGGGAGUUGGGGUACUGGUAUGUGAACCACCAAG